GAGGGAAGGAGAAUUUUCAGGCUAGAUAACGAAACAUAAUGGAAUGGUCCAUAAAGUCCCUCGCCUGGGAGCCGGGAGGGGACAGGCCCCCCGGAGCAGGGCUUUGGGGAAAACAGUCCCGCCCUGAGCUAAUUCCCCUGAUUAAAACUGCAUUAGUUUGGAGGUGUCAGGGACACGCAGCUGUUUUCAAGGAAACUCUGGCUCCAAGAGGUCCUCCCAUGCAGGGCGGCCAGUCCGCGCUAUCUGGAGAGGUUUUAAUGGAAUUUUCACAGUCAUUCUUCUGUGGAGAGCCCUAUAUUACCAACAUCUGAAGUCAUCUGAGACCACCUGUUGUACACACAGGAAGAAGAAUAGAAACAAAGAAUAAAAUGGAAGAACUCAUUUGCUAUUGGUUGUGU
rnacentral:lncRNA from 1 species